rnacentral:rRNA from 1 species
UACGAAGGGGGCUAGCGUUGCUCGGAAUCACUGGGCGUAAAGGGUGCGUAGGCGGGUUUUUAAGUCAGAGGUGAAAUCCUGGAGCUCAACUCCAGAACUGCCUUUGAUACUGAGAAUCUUGAGUACGGGAGAGGUGAGUGGAACUGCGAGUGUAGAGGUGAAAUUCGUAGAUAUUCGCAAGAACACCAGUGGCGGAGGCGGCUCACUGGCCCGUAACUGACGCUGAGGCACGAAAGCGUGGGGAGCAAACAGG